rnacentral:rRNA from 1 species
GAUACCCUGGGUAGUCCACGCAGUAAACGAUGAAUACUAAUUGUCCGGGCAGAGAGAUGCCUGGGUGAUACAGCGAAAGCGUUAAGUAUUCCACCUGGGGAGUACGCCGGCAACGGUGAAACUCAAAGGGAUUGACGGGGGCCCGCACAAGCGGAGGAACAUGUGGUUUAAUUCGAUGAUACGCGAGGAACCUUACCCGGGCUCAAACGACACAGGAAUACUUUUGAAAGGAGGUAGCCAGCAAUGGUCUGUGUCGAGGUGCUGCAUGGUUGUCGUCAGCUCGUGCCGUGAGGUGUCGGCUUAAGUGCCAUAACGAGCGCAACCCCUACCGCCAGUUGCCAGCAGGUAAAGCUGGGGACUCUGGCGGGACUGCCGGCGCAAGCUGCGAGGAAGGCGGGGAUGACGUCAAAUCAGCACGGCCCUUACGUCCGGGGCGACACACGUGUUACAAUGGCAGGUACAGCGGGAAGCCACCUGGCGACAGGGCGCGGAACCCGAAAACCUGUCUCAGUUCGGAUUGGAGUCUGCAACCCGACUCCAUGAAGCUGGAUUCGCUAGUAAUCGCGCAUCAGCCACGGCGCGGUGAAUACGUUCCCGGGCCUUGUACACACCGCCCGUCAAGCCAUGGAAGCCGGGAGUGCCUGAAGUGCGUGACCGCAAGGAGCGUCCUAAGGCAAUACCGGUGACUGGGGCUAAGUCGUAACAAGGUAAC